CCGUGUCUGUAGCCGUGUCCGUGCUACUUAGUAAGUAAUUGAGGGGUGUUAUGUGUAAUUUGGCUUGUAAAAUCAAAACACCAGGAAAGGCGCGCCAUUCCUUUUCCCCCUCACUUGUACGCUUCUUUCUCUCCCUCUCGUUUUCUCUCACGGUACACACUCUCUUGGAGAUCUCUCAUAAACUUCUAAUAUGUGAGGAUCCACCUUCAUUUCAUCGCGUAGCAAAGCUUGGAGGAGAUCAUUCUCGGUAGGUUUCAACCAAAACAACUUAGGGUUUGGGUUGGAUCCUUGGGUUUUGCUCAAAACCCUUGAGGUAUGGGUAUUGAUACCACUGCUCUCUAGAACCAAUCUGGAAAAUCUCAAAAAAACUGUGUGAAGUUACUGGUAACACCGUGUAUUGUUACUGGUAACAUUGCUUUAAAAACUUCGUGUGAGUAGAUAUCAAGUAAGAUCCGGACUUUGAUAUAUUUUUGAUUGAUCUAUUUGACACAUACCUGAUACAUGAUAGAAUGUUGGGGCGAUUUGAUGGCAAACUUUAUUGAGACGAUAAGAAUUUGUGUAACGUAAGGGGUGGUUGGUUUAGAAAAUUUAUGUGAUGUAUAAUUAUUAUUUCCACCUGAACCGGGAUUGGAUAGAUAUAUAAUACGGUUAAUGAUAACUUGAGAAUUAAAAUGUUGGUGUGGGUGUGGAAGUUCUUGAUGACAAAAUUAUUGAUUCAUUUCUAUUA